GACGAACGCUGGCGGCGUGCUUAACACAUGCAAGUCGAACGGAAAGGCCCUGCUUUUGUGGGGUGCUCGAGUGGCGAACGGGUGAGUAACACGUGAGUAACCUGCCCUUGACUUUGGGAUAACUUCAGGAAACUGGGGCUAAUACCGGAUAGGAGAUCCUGCUGCAUGGUGGGGGUUGGAAAGUUUCGGCGGUUGGGGAUGGACUCGCGGCUUAUCAGCCUGUUGGUGGGGUAGUGGCUUACAAAGGCUUUGACGGGUAGCCGGCCUGAGAGGGUGACCGGCCACAUUGGGACUGCGAUACGGCCCAGACUCCUACGGUAGGCAGCAGUGGGGAAUAUUGCACAAUGGGCGGAAGCCUGAUGCAGCAACGCCGCGUGCGUGAUGACGGCCUUCGGGUUGUAAACCGCUUUCGCCUGUGACGAAGCGGGAUUGACGGUAAUGGGUAAAGAAGCACCGGCUAACUACGUG
rnacentral:rRNA from 1 species